UACGUAGGCAGCAAGCGUUGUUCGGAGUUACUGGGCGUAAAGAGUGCGUAGGCGGUCUAGCAAGUUCGGUGUGAAAUCUCCCGGCUUAACUGGGAGGGUGCGCCGAAGACUGUUGGGCUGGAGUAUGGGAGAGGCAGGCGGAAUUCCUGGUGUAGCGGUGAAAUGCGUAGAUAUCAGGAGGAGCACCGGUGGUGUAGGCGGCUUGCUGGACCAUAACUGACGCUGAGGCACGAAAGCGUGGGGAGCAAACAGG
rnacentral:rRNA from 1 species